rnacentral:lncRNA from 10 species
AUUGCAAGCCUCUGCAGAGGCGCUGGAGCUGGGUCAGUCCGCCGCUCACCCCGCGGCCGCACCUUCCCGCCUUCUCAGGUAACUAAGUGCGGGUCUCGGGCCUGGCAGAAGCUUCUUCGGCCCCGUGCCCUCGCCUGGCCCCGCCCCGUCGGUUGUGUGCUUGUCUCGUCCUGCCCCCAGGCCCUGCCGGUCCCCACCGUUAGGCCGGCGUCCCUGCCCGGCCCCGCUGCGGGCUGGCGCCAGCUCAGGAGGACGCCCCGAAGCCGAGGCCUCGGAAGCAGGUUUUUCCCAGACCUUCUCCUGUCCCGCGUUCCCCCUAGGCCGGCCGUAGGGACCAGACCCCACCCUAAGCCCAUAGCCGGCCUUCGCGCUCCGGGUGACCCUGGCUGGCCCUGUUUGUCUGUGGGUCCUGGGAUGCGCCACUCCCGGCAGGAAGGGGCGCCGCCGAGGCCCGGUCUCAGCCUGGAACCCCGCUCCUGCCGUCGGGGCGCUUUCUGCGGCUGCCCACACACGACCCCAGGCAAGGGGUGGGGGCGCGGGACCCUCCAUGACAUGGCGGCGGGGCGCUCUCACUUCUUUGAAACCAGCGUAAACUGGACCCGCCCCACCUCCCAUACCUUGGGGGAGCCCCGGGAAAGGCUGUGGCCUGGGGGUCUGCAGGGCGUUGGCAGUGGAGGUGGGGAGAGACCCCAGCCCUUUCCUGUCCCCCCCACCAGCCUUGCCUUCCUCGCCGUGAGCCGGGGACAGUGGAGGGGAGUCAGGGAGGGCCCACCAGAUGGACUUUCUUGUGACUCAUCCUAUAAAGCCCCUCGGGCUUAGCCACCCUCCCCAGGACCCGUGUGGUCUCCCGGACUGUGCUGGAAGCUUAGAGCCAGAAUGACUUUUCCACCCUCGGGCUGGCUGGCUCAGUGGGCAGCAGGGACAGGGGGCUGUGAAGAGAAAACUCACUCGCCAGGGUCAGGGGCCGCUUGCUCACUGAGGAAAGCAGAGGGGUUCCUGCCGCUUGCCUCAGGAACAAAGCUAGUUGGUGAGGCACUGCCUUGCAGUUGUAGGAGAGGAAUAAUGGCCCCCGUGGGUGCUUGGUUGGAACGAUUAAAGGAGAAUAACAGUUUAGCACGAUUAUUUCACACAGUUGUUCAAAGAGAUGGCUUUGAAUUCCAGCUUACAUGGCGUCUUCAACAAAAAGUAAUUGUUUAGAGAAGUGACAAGAUGAAGGAGGACUCUGAGUCCUAGUCUCCCUCCUCGAGUCCCUGUGUGAGCAGAGGUAAACAAUGAAAACUCACCAACCAGGAGAAAUUCACCUAGGACUGGCGCAGAAGGUAUACACCAUGAGCCUGGAAAUGAUUUAAAAAACAACACAGGCUGGGCGCGGUGGCUCACACCUAUAAUCCCAGCACUUUGGGAGGCAGAGGCGGGCGGAUCACUUGAGGUUUGCGAGUUGGAAACCAGUCUGACCAACGUGGAGAAACCCCGUCUUUACUAAAAAUACAAAAUUAGCCAGGUGUGGUGGCGCAUGUCUGUAAUCCCAGCUACUGGGGAAGCUGAGGCAGGAGAAUCCCUUGAACCUGAGAGAUGGAGGUUGAUGUGAGCUGAGAUCACACAAUUGCAGUCCAGCCUGGGCAGCAAGAGUGAAACUCCAUCUCAAAAAAACAAAAAAAACAACCCACAACUGUGGGCCAAAGGGACACAGCGACAAGGGGUCCCAAUGGGCGAGGCUGGAAUAACUUGAAUAGCAGAAUAAAGUAGCAUUGGAUUAUAAUGCACAGGGCUGAAGAAAUAUCGAUGAGUCUUUGCUGAUGUAAUAAGUGACUGAAUGAGCUGGGCAGAGUGGGACCUGUAGUUCAGCUACUCAGAGGCUGAGGCAUGCACAUCCAGCCGAGUCCAAAUAGUGUAUGCAGAUAUGCCCUCACAGAGGUGACCUGAACUUUCUGAGUUGUGAGUGAGCUUCACCUGGGGACCUCCUUUUAGGUAGCAGGGAAAAAGAGGAGGGUGAGCCACACCCAGGCACCUCCUUCCAGAGAGCAUGUGCCUCAGCCUCCAGAGUAGCUGGGAUUGCAGACAUGUGCCACCAGCCCGACUAAUUUUUGUAUUUUUAGUCGAUACGGGGGGGUCUCACUAUGUUGCCCAGGCUGGUCUUGAACUCCUGGGUUCAGGUGAUCUUCCCACUUCAGCCUCCCAAAGUGCUGGGAUUACAGGUGAGAUAAAACUUCCUUAUUCACAGACUACAUGAUUGUCUAUAUAGAGAACACUCAUCUAAAGCAACAGCAAUGAUUGCCACAAAGACCCUCGUAGAGCCAGUAAGUGAGUUUGGAAUGUUCACCAGUAACACAUACAAAUUAAUCUUAGGGCUGCGUGCAGUGGCUCAUGCCUGUAAUCCCAGCACUUUGGGAGGCUGAGGCCGAGGCUGGUGGAUGGCCUAAGGUCAGGAGUUUGAGACCAGCUGACCAACAUGGUGAAACCCUGUGUCUACUAAAAAUAGGAAAACUAUCCAGGCAUGGUGGCGGGCACUGUAAUCCCAGCUACUCAGGAGGCUGAGGCAGGAGAAUCGCUUGAAUCCGGGAAGCAGAGGCUGCAGUGAGCCGAGAUCGCACCAUUGCACUCCAGCCUGAGCAACAAGAGUGGAACUCUGUCUCAAAAAAAAUAAAAGACCCGGUGUGGUGGCUCAUGCCUGUAAUCCCAACGCUCUUUGGGAGGCUGAGGCAGGCGUAUCACCAGGUCAGGAGUUGGAGAUCAGCCUGACCAACAUGGUGAAACCCUGUCUCUACUAAAAAUACAAAAAUUAGCCGGGUGUGGUGGCACACACCUGUAAUCGCAGCUACUCAGGAGGCUGAGACAGGAGAAUUGCUUGAACCUGGGAGGCAGAGGUUGCAGUGAGCUGAGAUCAUGCCACAUUUGAACCCGUGAGGCAGACGUUGCAGUGAGCCGAGAUCAUGUCACUGCACUCCAGCCUGGGCAACAGAGCCAGACUGUCUCAAAAAAAAAAAAAAAAUCUUACUUCUAUAGACAAUAAAACAUUGGAAACUGAAGUUAAAAACACAGUAGCUCCUGAGAGAGAGAGAGAGGUAUAAAUCUAACAAGACAAAACAGGAUCUGUAUGCUAAAAAGACUAUGUAUGUGGAGAGACGGCACACAGCACGCUCAUAGACUGGAAGACUGAACAUAAGAUGCCAGUCUCAGAAGGAUCUGUGAAAUUAACAAAAUUCCAAAACAUUGCAGUAGGACUCUUUUUAGAUUUAGAAAAGAUGAUUUUAAAAUGUAUACAGAAUGGUGAAGGAGCUAGCUAAAACAGUAAAAAGGAUAGAUAAAACAAUGUUUUAAAAAGAACAAAAAAGUUAGAUGAAUCACAUUACACAGUUUUAACAGACUUUAAAGCCACAAAAAUCAAGACUGUCGUAUUGGCAAAGAACAGACAGAUGGGUCAGUGAUCAGAGAGUCUAGAAACAGACCCACAUAAAUAGGGCCAUUUGAUCUUUGACAGCAGUGCAAACAAAAGCAACCCUGUGGAGAAAGGAUUGUCCAUUCAACAGAGCAGUGGGGCAGUUGGUCAUCCAUAUGGUAGAAAUGGAACCUUGGCCUAAACCUCACAUUGUACACAAUUAACUCCAAUCAUAUGUAAACGUAAAACAAAACUAUAAAAUGUUUGGAAGAAAACAGAAAAAUACCUUUGUACCUGAUGACAUUUGGUAGAGUUCUUAGACAUGAUCCCAAAGGCAUAAUCCACAGAAGAAUCCAUAAAAGAAAAAUUUGUAAAUUGGACUUUAUCAAAAUUAAAAACUUACUUUUUUGAGAUAGGGUCAUGCUGUGUUGUCCAGGCUGGAGUGUGGUGGUAAGUCAUAGUUCACUGCAGCCUCGACCUCCCGGGCUCAAGCCAUCUUCCUUCCUCAGCCUCCUGAGUAGCUGGGACUAGAGGUGCAAGCCACUAUUCCUGGUUUUAAAAAUUUUUUCCAGAGUCUGAGUCUUGCUGUAUUGCCCAGGCUGGUCUCAAAUUCCUAGCCUUAAGUGAUCCUUCCACCUUCGGCCCCAAAGUAGUUGAGAUUACAGGCAUGAGCCACCGUGCCUGACCUAAAAACGUUUGAACUACCAAAGACAGUGUGAAAAGAAUGAAAAGAUGAGGAGAAAAUAUUCACAAAUCACCUGUCAACUAAGGACCUGUAUUUGGAAUACACAGAGAACUCUUAAAACUCAACAGUAAGAAAACAGUCCAACUAAAAAGUGGAAAAGACCUGAUCAGACAUGCACCAGCAAUGACACAGCAUUGACUGUUGGGCACAGGAGAAGAGGCUUGACACCACCAGCCACCAGGAAAUGCAGAUUCAGCCACCACGCAGGACACGAGGCACCUGCACCACAGCCGCAGUGCAAGAGAAUGCUGGUGGUGCCCCAAGCUGCCAGGGUGUGGACCUGCUGGAAAUGGAAGACGGCAUGGUGGUUUCCUAUAAAGUUCAAUGUACACAGCCACAUGACCCAGCAAUCCCACUGUUGGGUAUUUAGAGAAUGAAAAACUUAAGUCCACAUAAAAACUGUACGUAAAUGUUUACUGAUGCCUUAUUCAUAAUCAUCAAAAGCUGAAAUUCAAAUGCCUUUCAUUGGGUGAACUGGUAAACUGUGGUAUAUCUAUGCAGUGAAAUACUCCUCUGCAGUGACAAUGGGGAGAGACUGACA